rnacentral:rRNA from 1 species
GACGAACGCUGGCGGCGUGCCUAAUACAUGCAAGUCGAACGCAUUUUCUUUCACCGUAGCUUGCUACACCGAAAGAAAAUGAGUGGCGAACGGGUGAGUAACACGUGGGUAACCUGCCCAUCAGCGGGGGAUAACACUUGGAAACAGGUGCUAAUACCGCAUAAUUCCAUUUACCGCAUGGUAAAUGGAUGAAAGGCGCUUUUGCGUCACUGAUGGAUGGACCCGCGGUGCAUUAGCUAGUUGGUGGGGUAACGGCCUACCAAGGCUGCGAUGCAUAGCCGACCUGAGAGGGUGAUCGGCCACACUGGGACUGGGACACGGCCCAGACUCCUACGGGAGGCAGCAGUAGGGAAUCUUCGGCAAUGGACGCAAGUCUGACCGAGCAACGCCGCGUGAUUGAAGAAGGUUUUCGGAUCGUAAAACUCUGUUGUUAGAGAAGAACAAGGAUGAGAGUGGAAAGUUCAUCCCUUGACGGUAUCUAACCAGAAAGCCACGGCUAACUACGUG